UUCUUUUAAAAUGGAUUGCGUCUUCCCAGUCCGUUCCCGUCCUCGGAGCGGGCUCCAUCCUCAUGUCAGCAUCAGCGUAGGCCCUGUUGUUGGCUGGGUGCGAACCGCCGCAACUUUCGCAUUUAGUUGGGAGCGGACCGCCGCAAUUUUCGCAUUUAGCUGGGUGCAGUGGACGAACCACCGCUCCUUACACAGAGGAAGCCGCGUUGACAGAAGUUGUUGAACCGCCGCAAUUUUCGCAUUUAGCUGGGUGCGGACCACCGCAAUUUUCGCAUUUAGCUGUGUGCGGUGGACGAAACCACCGCACUUUACACAGACGAAGUCGCGUUUGUGUGUGGGAUUGUUUCUGGCUGUUGGUUCACUUGUGUCGGCUUCCAUGGCAUGCCGCGCCUGGGCGUUGGCUUGAUCGCUCUCCUCCGCCUUCUCCCUCACUUGUUUUGACGUGAGAGAGUGGCGUCGUUUCGGCGUUCCCUUUUGGGUUUGGCGCCUUUUUGUGGGGAUUUGCGGUGGUUUGUGUUGGUGUUUGUUGGCGUCAGCGGUGCGCGCUGGCGUUUUCGUAGGGCAUUCCACCACACGAUGCACGGCACCAAAAUCCAGCUAACGAAAGUAAGAUAUACCCAGCAGCAAAGACAACACAUAAUCCCGCAUCAGAAGACACCAAAUCUGCAACCAUAUCAAACUACACAAACGGAAAGCCAAUCCCUCCCAACACUCUAGUGCGUUCCUCCUCUUGGAGACGCAAAACAAAAGUCGGACGCAGUAGCCCAAAACCUCUCUAAAGAAAAACAAGAAAGGCAAAGAAACCUAUCAGCAGAUUCUGCGAAACAGUGAUAAACAUGCUAUGGUCGCCAACAAUCACACAUCCUCGCCUAUGUGGCCGGACCAGCAGCCACUCGGCCAACAACACAUACCGUUGGCAUCACACAUUGAUGCCAAUGCCAACAACAUUAACAACGCAUCCCGGGUGGCCGCACCUGUGCCACUCGGUCCGAUGAGCCAACUCCAAAAACACAGGCAGAUGCAACUUGGGCGGCCGGACCAGAGCCGUCCGCCACCAAUCAUUCCACCACACGAUACGCCACCAAAAUCCAGCUGAUGGAUUGUCUGCUUUGGCUUUGUUUGCUGCUUGCUUUUUAUUGGUGGCCGCUGCAUCUGGUGGUGAUGGCGGCUACUACGUCUGGCCUGCUCCCUCUCUCCCUCCUCAUCGUCACUCUCACGGACGAUGAGGGCGUGGCGUCGCUGGUAUUGGUGGCUGAACAACGGCGCGAAUCGGUCCCUCGCCCGAACUCAUACCAGGUUUGGUAUGAGCCGAGUUUGAGCUCUAUCCGGCCGUGUUAGUAUGUGUGUGUUGGCUGGCCGUGUGGAUGCCGAUUGCGGUAGCUCCGCUCCUCCCCGUUGCCCCCGCCACUCUCUCUUGAGUGGAAAUGGCUGGAGAGAGUGGGAGCGCGGGAGGCGGGAAAAGUGGCCGUGAGAGCGGCGUCCUCUUGGCAUUUCCUUUUGUGGUUGGCGCGGUUUUUAGGGAAUUAGCGGUUGUUGCUGGUGCUGUUAUUGGCGCUGUCGCUCUUGCUGCCGCUGCCGACGCAGCCAUGGCCUCCAUGUUCUCAUGGAGCCUGCACCCUCCGGCAUUGGCUGCCCAUUUUUGAGCCGUCUCCUCCUGGUAUUGGCGGAAGGAGAAGUGCUCGCUUUUUUUCGGGUUGUGUGUCGACGGCGCGAGCACAAUAGGACUGAUUGGCCACAGCAAGUGACCCUCAGCUAAGUUUAUUUGUUUUCGCAAUUUUACAUUUAAACGCCUUUACAAAUAUUUUUAAAAGCUGUUCUUUUAACAGCGGAACCACUACUUAACAUGGUUGGGAAAUUUUACAUAAUGUUACAGGGAAAUGGAUAAGGCACUUUACAUUACAAGAAAUCAACAUUUUCUGGCAACGCCGUGCGCUUGUUGUAUAUAGUUAAGGUAAUACUAAUCUUAAUAUUAGUUUGUGUUUUGUGUAGAUUAUUUACAUUGUUGUUGGCUGAUUUCCAUAUUGUGAGUUGAGAAGGGAUUUCUUCGCCAGUUCUCACGUCUAGCCUGGAGUACUGUCAUCUGGAUGGCACUCAGACUUCUGUUGCUGCUUGGGUUGUGUUGUUCCAUCAUUGAGGCGUAUCUUGGUCUGGCCAGCCUCCUGGGGAUGUAUGGUUGUGUUGCGAUAUCACAGGCAAGAAGAUUUUAGUGCUGCAUUAGUCGGGUGUAAUAGUUAUUGCAGUGUGCAUUGCAGAUUUCAUUGAUAUUUGAAAUGUUGAGAUCCGCGUGCAGUGUUUUAUUGCUCACGUACCAGGGUGCAUUAGUAAUUGCUCUGAGGGCUUUGUUUUGUAAUGUUUGCAUUUGUCCAUUUGCAUGUUUGCAUGCCCAGACUGGCAAGGCAUACUGCCAUAUUGGGGCAACCAGUUGCUUGCAGAGAAGGACUUUUAGAUGCAGGGUAAAAUAAUACAUCUUGCAAAAAUUGUGGCGCCUACUAUUUAACUACAUAUGUGUAGUAACAGACAUGGCUGAAAAAUGACAGGGUAACAUUGGUUACAAUAAUGUCUGUUUAGAAUUUUAACAGUGUUGUAUAUAGUUAAGGUAAUACUAAUCUUAAUAUUAAUUUGUGUUUUGUGUAGAUUAUUUGCAUUGUUUUAAAUUACAUGUGUAUUUGAUGUGUUAGUGUUAUUGUGGCUGAUUUCCAUAUUGUGAGUUGAGAAGGGAUUUCUUCGCCAGUUCUCACGUCUAGCCUGGAGUACUGUCAUCUGGAUGGCACUCAGACUUCUGUUGCUGCUUGGGUUGUGUUGUUCCAUCAUUGAGGCGUAUCUUGGUCUGGCCAGCCUCCUGGGGAUGUAUGGUUGUGUUGCGAUAUCACAGGCAAGAAGAUUUUAGUGCUGCAUUAGUCGGGUGUAAUAGUUAUUGCAGUGUCCAUUGCAGAUUUCAUUGAUAUUUGAAAUGUUGAGAUCCGCGUGCAGUGUUUUAUUGCUCACGUACCAGGGUGCAUUAGUAAUUGCUCUGAGGGCUUUGUUUUGUAAUGUUUGCAUUUGUCCAUUUGUCCACCGCACUUUACACAGACGAAGUCGCGUUUGUGUGUGGGAUUGUUUCUGGCUGUUGGUUCACUUGUAUCGGCUUCCAUGGCAUGCCGCGCCUGGGCGUUGGCUUGAUCGCUCUCCUCCGCCUUCUCCCUCACUUGUUUUGACGUGAGAGAGUGGCGUCGUUUCGGCGUUCCCUUUUGGGUUUGGCGCCUUUUUGUGGGGAUUUGCGGUGGUUUGUGUUGGUGUUUGUUGGCGUCAGCGGUGCGCGCUGGCGUUUUCGUAGGGCAUUCCACCACACGAUGCACGGCACCAAAAUCCAGCUAACGAAAGUAAGAUAUACCCAGCAGCAAAGACAACACAUAAUCCCGCAUCAGAAGACACCAAAUCUGCAACCAUAUCAAACUACACAAACGGAAAGCCAAUCCCUCCCAACACUCUAGUGCGUUCCUCCUCUUGGAGACGCAAAACAAAAGUCGGACGCAGUAGCCCAAAACCUCUCUAAAGAAAAACAAGAAAGGCAAAGAAACCUAUCAGCAGAUUCUGCGAAACAGUGAUAAACAUGCUAUGGUCGCCAACAAUCAUACAUCCUCGCCUAUGUGGCCGGACCAGCAGCCACUCGGCCAACAACACAUACCGUUGGCAUCACACAUUGAUGCCAAUGCCAACAACAUUAACAACGCAUCCCGGGUGGCCGCACCUGUGCCACUCGGUCCGAUGAGCCAACUCCAAAAACACAGGCAGAUGCAACUUGGGCGGCCGGACCAGAGCCGUCCGCCACCAAUCAUUCCACCACACGAUACGCCACCAAAAUCCAGCUGAUGGAUUGUCUGCUUUGGCUUUGUUUGCUGCUUGCUUUUUAUUGGUGGCCGCUGCAUCUGGUGGUGAUGGCGGCUACUACGUCUGGCCUGCUCCCUCUCUCCCUCCUCAUCGUCACUCUCACGGACGAUGAGGGCGUGGCGUCGCUGGUAUUGGUGGCUGAACAACGGCGCGAAUCGGUCCCUCGCCCGAACUCAUACCAGGUUUGGUAUGAGCCGAGUUUGAGCUCUAUCCGGCCGUGUUAGUAUGUGUGUGUUGGCUGGCCGUGUGGAUGCCGAUUGCGGUAGCUCCGCUCCUCCCCGUUGCCCCCGCCACUCUCUCUUGAGUGGAAAUGGCUGGAGAGAGUGGGAGCGCGGGAGGCGGGAAAAGUGGCCGUGAGAGCGGCGUCCUCUUGGCAUUUCCUUUUGUGGUUGGCGCGGUUUUUAGGGAAUUAGCGGUUGUUGCUGGUGCUGUUAUUGGCGCUGUCGCUCUUGCUGCCGCUGCCGACGCAGCCAUGGCCUCCAUGUUCUCAUGGAGCCUGCACCCUCCGGCAUUGGCUGCCCAUUUUUGAGCCGUCUCCUCCUGGUAUUGGCGGAAGGAGAAGUGCUCGCUUUUUUUCGGGUUGUGUGUCGACGGCGCGAGCACAAUAGGACUGAUUGGCCACAGCAAGUGACCCUCAGCUAAGUUUAUUUGUUUUCGCAAUUUUACAUUUAAACGCCUUUACAAAUAUUUUUAAAAGCUGUUCUUUUAACAGCGGAACCACUACUUAACAUGGUUGGGAAAUUUUACAUAAUGUUACAGGGAAAUGGAUAAGGCACUUUACAUUACAAGAAAUCAACAUUUUCUGGCAACGCCGUGCGCUUGUUGUAUAUAGUUAAGGUAAUACUAAUCUUAAUAUUAGUUUGUGUUUUGUGUAGAUUAUUUACAUUGUUGUUGGCUGAUUUCCAUAUUGUGAGUUGAGAAGGGAUUUCUUCGCCAGUUCUCACGUCUAGCCUGGAGUACUGUCAUCUGGAUGGCACUCAGACUUCUGUUGCUGCUUGGGUUGUGUUGUUCCAUCAUUGAGGCGUAUCUUGGUCUGGCCAGCCUCCUGGGGAUGUAUGGUUGUGUUGCGAUAUCACAGGCAAGAAGAUUUUAGUGCUGCAUUAGUCGGGUGUAAUAGUUAUUGCAGUGUGCAUUGCAGAUUUCAUUGAUAUUUGAAAUGUUGAGAUCCGCGUGCAGUGUUUUAUUGCUCACGUACCAGGGUGCAUUAGUAAUUGCUCUGAGGGCUUUGUUUUGUAAUGUUUGCAUUUGUCCAUUUGCAUGUUUGCAUGCCCAGACUGGCAAGGCAUACUGCCAUAUUGGGGCAACCAGUUGCUUGCAGAGAAGGACUUUUAGAUGCAGGGUAAAAUAAUACAUCUUGCAAAAAUUGUGGCGCCUACUAUUUAACUACAUAUGUGUAGUAACAGACAUGGCUGAAAAAUGACAGGGUAACAUUGGUUACAAUAAUGUCUGUUUAGAAUUUUAACAGUGUUGUAUAUAGUUAAGGUAAUACUAAUCUUAAUAUUAAUUUGUGUUUUGUGUAGAUUAUUUGCAUUGUUUUAAAUUACAUGUGUAUUUGAUGUGUUAGUGUUAUUGUGGCUGAUUUCCAUAUUGUGAGUUGAGAAGGGAUUUCUUCGCCAGUUCUCACGUCUAGCCUGGAGUACUGUCAUCUGGAUGGCACUCAGACUUCUGUUGCUGCUUGGGUUGUGUUGUUCCAUCAUUGAGGCGUAUCUUGGUCUGGCCAGCCUCCUGGGGAUGUAUGGUUGUGUUGCGAUAUCACAGGCAAGAAGAUUUUAGUGCUGCAUUAGUCGGGUGUAAUAGUUAUUGCAGUGUCCAUUGCAGAUUUCAUUGAUAUUUGAAAUGUUGAGAUCCGCGUGCAGUGUUUUAUUGCUCACGUACCAGGGUGCAUUAGUAAUUGCUCUGAGGGCUUUGUUUUGUAAUGUUUGCAUUUGUCCAUUUGUCCACCGCACUUUACACAGACGAAGUCGCGUUUGUGUGUGGGAUUGUUUCUGGCUGUUGGUUCACUUGUAUCGGCUUCCAUGGCAUGCCGCGCCUGGGCGUUGGCUUGAUCGCUCUCCUCCGCCUUCUCCCUCACUUGUUUUGACGUGAGAGAGUGGCGUCGUUUCGGCGUUCCCUUUUGGGUUUGGCGCCUUUUUGUGGGGAUUUGCGGUGGUUUGUGUUGGUGUUUGUUGGCGUCAGCGGUGCGCGCUGGCGUUUUCGUAGGGCAUUCCACCACACGAUGCACGGCACCAAAAUCCAGCUAACGAAAGUAAGAUAUACCCAGCAGCAAAGACAACACAUAAUCCCGCAUCAGAAGACACCAAAUCUGCAACCAUAUCAAACUACACAAACGGAAAGCCAAUCCCUCCCAACACUCUAGUGCGUUCCUCCUCUUGGAGACGCAAAACAAAAGUCGGACGCAGUAGCCCAAAACCUCUCUAAAGAAAAACAAGAAAGGCAAAGAAACCUAUCAGCAGAUUCUGCGAAACAGUGAUAAACAUGCUAUGGUCGCCAACAAUCAUACAUCCUCGCCUAUGUGGCCGGACCAGCAGCCACUCGGCCAACAACACAUACCGUUGGCAUCACACAUUGAUGCCAAUGCCAACAACAUUAACAACGCAUCCCGGGUGGCCGCACCUGUGCCACUCGGUCCGAUGAGCCAACUCCAAAAACACAGGCAGAUGCAACUUGGGCGGCCGGACCAGAGCCGUCCGCCACCAAUCAUUCCACCACACGAUACGCCACCAAAAUCCAGCUGAUGGAUUGUCUGCUUUGGCUUUGUUUGCUGCUUGCUUUUUAUUGGUGGCCGCUGCAUCUGGUGGUGAUGGCGGCUACUACGUCUGGCCUGCUCCCUCUCUCCCUCCUCAUCGUCACUCUCACGGACGAUGAGGGCGUGGCGUCGCUGGUAUUUGUGGCUGAACAACGGCGCGAAUCGGUCCCUCGCCCGAACUCAUACCAGGUUUGGUAUGAGCCGAGUUUGAGCUCGAUCCGGCCGUGUUAGUAUGUGUGUGUUGGCUGGCCGUGUGGAUGCCGAUUGCGGUAGCUCCGCUCCUCCCCGUUGCCCCCGACACUCUCUCUUGAGUGGAAAUGGCUGGAGAGAGUGGGAGCGCGGGAGGCGGGAAAAGUGGCCGUGAGAGCGGCGUCCUCUUGGCAUUUCCUUUUGUGGUUGGCGCGGUUUUUAGGGAAUUAGCGGUUGUUGCUGGUGCUGUUAUUGGCGCUGUCGCUCUUGCUGCCGCUGCCGACGCAGCCAUGGCCUCCAUGUUCUCAUGGAGCCUGCACCCUCCGGCAUUGGCUGCCCAUUUUUGAGCCGUCUCCUCCUGGUAUUGGCGGAAGGAGAAGUGCUCGCUUUUUUUCGGGUUGUGUGUCGACGGCGCGAGCACAAUAGGACUGAUUGGCCACAGCAAGUGACCCUCAGCUAAGUUUAUUUGUUUUCGCAAUUUUACAUUUAAACGCCUUUACAAAUAUUUUUAAAAGCUGUUCUUUUAACAGCGGAACCACUACUUAACAUGGUUGGGAAAUUUUACAUAAUGUUACAGGGAAAUGGAUAAGGCACUUUACAUUACAAGAAAUCAACAUUUUCUGGCAACGCCGUGCGCUUGUUGUAUAUAGUUAAGGUAAUACUAAUCUUAAUAUUAGUUUGUGUUUUGUGUAGAUUAUUUACAUUGUUGUUGGCUGAUUUCCAUAUUGUGAGUUGAGAAGGGAUUUCUUCGCCAGUUCUCACGUCUAGCCUGGAGUACUGUCAUCUGGAUGGCACUCAGACUUCUGUUGCUGCUUGGGUUGUGUUGUUCCAUCAUUGAGGCGUAUCUUGGUCUGGCCAGCCUCCUGGGGAUGUAUGGUUGUGUUGCGAUAUCACAGGCAAGUUUUAAUGGUUUGACUGGCUCAGGGCACUUUAGAGUGACCUGAAGCUUUAUUUAUUAAUGUUCUUAUUACUAUUGGCAACAUAUAACAUUAUUUAUGGAAACAUUUAACAUUUUUUUAACAUUUAGGUAUUUUUUUUUACUUUACGGUAACAUUGAUAAUAACAGACAGAAAAAUACUAGACAGUUAUCAAUUUGCUCUUGUAAACAAAAGGUAAGUUAAGAUCGGCUUGUGUUUUCUUUUUUCUGGCUUAGGCAUAAAAAUUUUGUGACGCCGCUCCUGGACCCCUCAUCCGGUGCGAAACGGAGGUAUGGACGACAGGGAGACCUCCAAGCAUCGGCAACGCAAGCGCGGCAUCGCCUCGUCCCUCUUUUCCUGGCCGAAUCCAACCGAUGCAGCUCUAAGAAGAACGGCGGCGCAUAUGCUUCUUUCUGUGGAUGAUAUGAAACUCCUGGCUGAUUUUAAUAUUGUUUUAUUUUCAGGUUUAUGUUUUGUAGGUUUGGUGAUCAAGUGUCAGGAAUCCAGUUAGGUUCGAUUGGUCCAUUGGGAGGUUUGCGUUGAGUUUGGCUAAAUUAAUUUAUUUAGAGGUUUGCGUUGAAUUUGGU